CCAUGGGAGUUUGUUGCACCAGAAGUAGCUGCCUAACUGCAAAGAGGGCGGUUACCACGGUGUGGCCGAUGACUGGGGUGAAGUCGUAACAAGGUAGCCGUAGGGGAACCUGCGGCUGGAUCACCUCCUUA
rnacentral:rRNA from 1 species